rnacentral:pre_miRNA from 1 species
UAUCACCAUUUGUACUUGAGUUGUCUCUCAUGUCUAGACCAUUUGUGAGAAGGGAGUUUUUGUUUACACCAAUACCCCCCAGUCUCUAAAUUUGUAAGAAGUAUUAUGCUCAAUUAAGGAACAUAGCUAGUUCGACAUACCAUACUACCCUUUUUAAAACUAUCCUAUAUGUUUGAUGCUAGCAUAGCGUAAUUUUGUGUUCUCAUGGUGCAGCAGGGUUAGUUUAUUGUGUACCUCUAGAUAUAUAUUCUCUUGCUGCGUAGGGUUCCCAAGCUGCCAAAAACUUUUAAAAAUUAGUGAUCUGUUCCCCAAACCCCCAUUCAAUAAGAAAGGUCUACCUGUAGCUCACAGUCACAGCUAUUAGAGCUGUCCUUGCUUCUUUGGGUUUACUGUUUUAGUUAAUUAGUUACCCUAUGAAAGUCUGAUCCUUCAGAAGUUAGGUAUAGAAGUAAGUCGAUUAAGUUCAUUCAUGACUUUUCCAGAUGUUGCAUACAUAACUUUUUUUAUUUGUAUUCGAACUAGUCCAAGCCGAUUCUCAAAAUCAUAUAAAAUCAUUUACACCUUGGUCAUGGUAGCUAAGAAUAUUGUAUCUAAAAUUGGGGAGUGGGGAGAUGUUUGGUUAUAUUCCCUUCUCAUCGAUGGUCUAGAUGUGCGAGGUGACUCUCAUGGAGGUAAAGAACAAUGGUGAU